rnacentral:rRNA from 1 species
UACGAAGGGUGCAAGCGUUAAUCGGAAUUACUGGGCGUAAAGGGUGCGUAGGCGGUUCGUUAAGUCUGUUGUGAAAUCCCCGGGCUCAACCUGGGAAUGGCAAUGGAUACUGGCGGGCUAGAGUGUGUCAGAGGAUGGUGGAAUUCCCGGUGUAGCGGUGAAAUGCGUAGAUAUCAGGAAGAACACCGAUGGCGAAGGCAGUUCUCUGGGACGGUACUGACGCUGAGACGCGAAAGCGUGGGGAGCGAACAGG